rnacentral:rRNA from 1 species
GAUGAACGCUAGCGGGAGGCCUAACACAUGCAAGCCGAGCGGUAUUGUUUCUUCGGAAAUGAGAGAGCGGCGUACGGGUGCGGAACACGUGUGCAACCUGCCUUUAUCUGGGGGAUAGCCUUUCGAAAGGAAGAUUAAUACUCCAUAACAUAGUGAACGUCAUCAUUUAAUAUUGAAAGCUCCGGCGGAUAGAGAUGGGCACGCGCAAGAUUAGCUAGUUGGUGAGGUAACGGCUCACCAAGGCGAUGAUCUUUAGGGGGCCUGAGAGGGUGAUCCCCCACACUGGUACUGAGACACGGACCAGACUCCUACGGGAGGCAGCAGUGAGGAAUAUUGGUCAAUGGGUGCAAGCCUGAACCAGCCAUCCCGCGUGAAGGACGACUGCCCUAUGGGUUGUAAACUUCUUUUGUAUAGGGAUAAACCUACCCUCGUGAGGGUAGCUGAAGGUACUAUACGAAUAAGCACCGGCUAACUCCGUGCCAGCCGCCGCAGUAAAAC